UCUCUCUCUCUCUCUCUCCUGAAACCGGCCGGCUGUUCCUCUCUCCCGACAGUUCUCUGUCUCCCGGCGACAAGUAAACCCAUUGGCGCAAUCAUUCUCUCUCUUUCUCCGGCCGGCCGUUCUUUCACCGGCAGCAUCUCCACCGCGAGGUCCAUUCCCCCAACUCAACCAGCCGCAUCUCCUUAAUUUCCGUCUCCACCGUUGACGGAACCAAGCAAGGCCGAGAGAGCUGGUGCGUUUCAACUAUGAGGCUCUAAGGUGGGCUCACGGUUGGGAGAGACCAAAGCUUGAUUGGAAACGGAAUUUGACCAAAUGCAAGGCAAAUAUGGAGAAUCAAUCUAUCAAACUUUUGAUGCUGCCAGAGCUCUACCGCACAAGGGAUAAUAAGUUUCCUUGCAAGAUGUAUUAGGCUGCCUUUGUUUUUGUUAUUUUGUUGUUACUCGUUUUUCCUAGCGGUUUAGCAAUACCACUGGUAGUAAGAUGUUAAAAUAAUUUCAUUCAUCUGGUAUUGUUCACUCCUAAUGAAACCAGACUUAUGGGUUUGUGUUAUGGUCCCCAGUGGUGUUGUAUUAGAAAACUACAAAUGAGAAAAUGUUAUUGUGCAAAGAAUUUGUCAUUUGCUACAUUGGCCAUUAAAAUGC